rnacentral:rRNA from 1 species
UACGUAGGGUGCAAGCGUUAAUCGGAAUUACUGGGCGUAAGGCGUGCGCAGGCGGUUAUGUAAGACAGAUGUGAAAUCCCCGGGCUCAACCUGGGAACUGCAUUUGUGACUGCAUAGCUAGAGUACGGUAGAGGGGGAUGGAAUUCCGCGUGUAGCAGUGAAAUGCGUAGAUAUGCGGAGGAACACCGAUGGCGAAGGCAAUCCCCUGGACCUGUACUGACGCUCAUGCACGAAAGCGUGGGGAGCAAACAGG